AUGAUGUCAUGUCAGUCUUAUUCAUACCCCUUCAAAUAAAGUGUUACCCAUUUAUUAAAGUGGCUACAGAACUGUGGGACAGGGUGUGUUGUUGGUGGGACCAUAAUUAACCAUCUCAUUAUGACAUUAUGUACAAUGCAUUGAAAAGUAACAUUAUGAUUAUAAGAACCAAGGAGGAUCAGAAGUUGGUACUCCCUGACUUCUCCUUACCUGGUGUUGUUCUUAAAGUGUGUACUAAUGUCAGAUACCUGGGACAUUAUAUAGCUGAUGAUCUGACUGAUGAUAUGGACAUUAA